UUGUCCAUGAUGAGGACACCUUCUCAACAAAUCCUUAAAUCUCUCCUAUGUAUCGUAAAGUGUCUCAAGGUCAAAUUGAACAAAAGAAGAGAUAUCAUUUCUUAACUU
rfam:Gossypium raimondii chromosome 4, whole genome shotgun sequence.